rnacentral:rRNA from 1 species
AUGCAAUUUAAAGGCCAAACCAUUGAAAAUCUGAAAUCUACAUCCUUCCCAACUUCCUGUUACCGCACAUCAUCUAUGCUCUGUUCAGACCUUCCAUUAAUUUUUUAUUCUAACAAUAGAUUCUGUCUCUGGUUCUUAUUUUGCAUACACUUACUAAACAUUUACUCUAGUUUUGUCGUUGUUGAUGUUUUCUCUUUUGGACUUUGUGGUUGUUUUAUGGCCUGUAAGCUUUUAUCCUCCCAUAAUAUAACACAUGCAGCCCUCGUGCAUGGUUUGAACUUUUUUCUUACCGUGUUUUGUUCCAUUUGA